rnacentral:rRNA from 1 species
CAGCCGCCGCGGUAAUACCGGCGGCCCGAGUGGCGGUCACUAUUAUUGGGCUUAAAGCGUCCGUAGCCGGGUUGGGAAGUCCUCCGGGAAAUCUGGCCGCUUAACGGUCAGAAUGCCGGAGGAUACUCCCAGCCUAGGGAGCGGGGGAGGCCGAGGGGAUUCCCGGAGUAGGGGGGAAAUCCUAUAAACCCGGGAGGACCACCUGUGGCGAAGGCGCUCGGCUGGAACGCGUCCGACGGUGAGGGACGAAGGCCAGGGGAGCAAACCGGAUUAGAUACCCGGGUAGUCCUGGCUGUAAACGAUGCGGACUUUGUGUCGGACAAGCUAUGAGCUUGUCCGGUGCCGGAGGGAAACCGUUAAGUCCGCCGCCUGGGGAGUACGGCCGCAAGGCUGAAACUUAAAGGAAUUGGCGGG